rnacentral:rRNA from 1 species
CCUACGGGAGGCAGCAGUGAGGAAUAUUGGUCAAUGGACGCGAGUCUGAACCAGCCAAGUAGCGUGAAGGAUGACUGCCCUCUGGGUUGUAAACUUCUUUUAUAUGGGAAUAAAAUGUUCCACGUGUGGGAUUUUGUAUGUACCAUAUGAAUAAGGAUCGGCUAACUCCGUGCCAGCAGCCGCGGUAAUACGGAGGAUCCGAGCGUUAUCCGGAUUUAUUGGGUUUAAAGGGAGCGUAGGUGGAUUGUUAAGUCAGUUGUGAAAGUUUGCGGUUCAACCGUAAAAUUGCAGUUGAAACUGGCAGUCUUGAGUACAGUAGAGGUGGGCGGAAUUCGUGGUGUAGCGGUGAAAUGCUUAGAUAUCACGAAGAACUCCGAUUGCGAAGGCAGUUCACUGGACUGCAACUGACACUGAGGCUCGAAAGUGUGGGUAUCAAACAGGAUUAGAUACCCGAGUAGUC